AGUGAACGCUGGCGGCAUGCUUAAUACAUGUAAGUCGAACGAUGUAGUCUUUGCUUGCUAGGAUGGACUAGGGGCGCACGGGUGAGUAAUAUAUAGUUAAUCUGCCUUGCACUGAGAAACAACAGAUGGAAACGUUUGCUAAUACCUCAUACUCCAACUUUACCUAAGAUAAGUUGGGAAAGUCUUUUCGGUGCAAGAUGAGACUAUAUCGUAUCAGCUAGUUGGUAAGGUAAUGGCUUACCAAGGCUAUGACGCGUAACUCGUAUAAGGGAAUGAGCAGGCACAUAGGGACUGAGGCACGGUCCAAACUACUGAGGCAGGCAGCAGGAAGGAAGAUUGAGCAAUGGGGGAAGCGCAGAGGCAGCAACGCCGCCAGGAGGAAGACAUUUUUAGUAGAGUGAACCCCUUUUAUUAGUGAGGAGAGAUGACGGUACCUACCGAAUAAGCACCGGCUAACUCCGUG
rnacentral:rRNA from 1 species